AAGUCGUAACAAGGUUUCCGUAGGUGAACCUGCGGAAGGAUCAUUAACACGUAUCCAACGUUAAAACCCCUGUGAACUUUCAGCCUGCUCUUGUGGGGUAAAUCAAGUGGGAGGAACAGUUUUGAUUCGGAACCUCUGCUCCAUAUGCGCACGCUGCAAUUGAGCGGUAGAAGCAGUGGCAUGGCGUCCCCAAGCCUCCAGUGAAUGAAAGUGUCACUGGAAAGUGUAAGGAUAACGCUUCUCGGUUGCUAGAGGUCGAUCACCGACCGGCAGACAUGCCACAGGGUCACCGCGCCCCUAAUCACUCCCUCUGAACCAUACGCCGGCGCCGUUGAAAAGCUGCGCUAAAAAAAACCGAACAACUGUUAACAAUGGAUAUCUUGGUUCUC
rnacentral:misc_RNA from 1 species